GUGUUGUUGAAACCCUCUCAUGCUAAAGUGCCUAACACCCAAGCAGACGGGAAUAGAAUAACCAUCUUCAACAUAAACAGCAUUACCCAUGUUUACAGUCCUUUCCACAGGAAGAUCAGCUGAUGAAGGCAGCCACUAUGACUGCACAAUUAUAAGAGCAUGACGGAAACCAGGAGAAUAGCAAGCUGGUCAUCAGUCAGUAUGUCACGGUGACCUAAUUCAUCAGAAUACUAGUUUCUUCAAUAAGAUACGUGAUGACAUCAUCAAAAAAGAAAAAGUUUCCAGAGACAACCUCCAUCGAUUUAAACAUGGAAAGUGCAUCUUGAUCCCAUCCUGCAGAAGAUAGGAGAAAAAGACAACUUUGCC
rnacentral:lncRNA from 1 species